GAUGAACGCUAGCGGCAGGCUUAACACAUGCAAGUCGUGGGGCAGCGCGAGGUAGCAAUACUUUGGCGGCAACCGGCAAACGGGUGCGGAACACGUACGCAACCUUCCUCAGAGCGGGGAAUAGCCUCUCGAAAGAGAGAUUAAUACCCCAUAGUAUCUCGGAUUCACAUGGAUCUGAGAUUAAAGCUCCGGCACUUUGAGAUGGGCGUGCGGCUGAUUAGGUAGUUGGUAGGUAACGGCUACCAAGCCAACGAUCAGUAGCUGAUGUGAGAGCAUGAUCAGCCACACGGGCACUGAGACACGGGCCCGACUCCUACGGGAGGCAGCAGUGAGGAAUAUUGGUCAAUGGAGGCAACUCUGAACCAGCCAUGCCGCGUGAAGGAUGAAGGUCCUCUGGA
rnacentral:rRNA from 1 species